UACAGAGGGUGCGAGCGUUAAUCGGAAUUACUGGGCGUAAAGCGUGCGCAGGCGGCUCCUUAAGUCAGAUGUGAAAGCCCCGGGCUUAACCUGGGAACUGCGUUUGAAACUGGGGAGCUAGAGUGUAGAAGAGGGGGGUGGAAUUCCAGGUGUAGCAGUGAAAUGCGUAGAGAUCUGGAGGAACACCGAUGGCGAAGGCAGCCCCCUGGGCUAACACUGACGCUCAUGCACGAAAGCGUGGGGAGCAAACAGG
rnacentral:rRNA from 1 species